ensembl:snRNA U6 U6 spliceosomal RNA
GUGCUUGCUUUGGCAGCACAUAUACUAAAAAUGAAACAAUGUAGAGAAGAUUAGCAUGGCCUUGCACCAGGAUGAAGGCAAACUCAGGAACUAUGCCAUAUUUAA